rnacentral:rRNA from 1 species
CGGACGGGUGAGUAAUAUGUAGGAAUCUACCUAAAGGUGGGGGAUAACUUGGGGAAACUCAAGCUAAUACCGCAUAAGCCCUACGGGGGAAAGCAGGGGCUCGCAAGACCUUGUGCCUUAUGAUGAGCCUACAUCGGAUUAGCUUGUUGGUGGGGUAAAGGCCUACCAAGGCGACGAUCCGUAGCUGGUCUGAGAGGACGAUCAGCCACACUGGGACUGAGACACGGCCCAG